AUGCUUCACUUCAAUCUAGUCAGAACCAAAAUUGCCCUUUUCGCCCAUGGUUAUAAACUGUAUCAUCGGGACGAUGAUAGAAAAGCCAGGGGUAAAUGUAACGGGGUAGUCGUCUUGAAGGAGUUUUUCGUUUCAUGGGGGGCGGGUGUUGUUGGGCGGAAGUGAUGUUCAUGGCCCUUUAAGAAGCGUGAAGAUUCCCCUUUACUUCCGUUUUUCCUCUGGCAUGGGAUAUGGGUCGUGUGUGAGUGCAUGGUAAAAAGAAAAAACCUUAUGUGCGUUAAGCAUUGAGUCUAUGAGCCGUAGCAAACGCAGUAACUAUUUCUGAGCGUGGGCCUGGGGAUGUGCGACCGCAUCAACGCAGUUUUGGGUACGUUAGCGUAUUGACCUAUAACGUCGCAUUGUUUCAAGUGAGGGCAAUUACUAAUAGUGCCGCUUCUUUUAGUUCAAGCUGGGUAGGAGUGGUGGAUUAUUCACUAUCCGUAUUGCGAGUCCGUUAGCUGUGCUGCCGAAAGUUGCUCGCUGCUGUUUUGCUGCUGUGAGGUGGCCUGACGGCGCUGCUGUACCGCGACAUAGUUCGCGUUCUAGAAGACGUUUGCUUCAGUGUGCGUGCGAGUGUGAGUGCGUGUUGUACAGGGACUAAUUAUUUAUGUGAUUACGAGAGUGUGGAGUUAAGAUGAUUUAGUCUUUUCUUUUUUUCCUUUUCUUCUUUGUUUUCUUUUGUAUUGUGUUUAUUUUGUUGGUUGAAUUGUGAGUAAUAAUUGUUAUCUGACCUUGUCAAUUUCCUUAUAGACAACAAGGACGCUCAUCUCUGGGGAGGGUUUGCUUUUGUUUUUGGUUUGCGGUGUGUGUUUGGUUAUCUGUUUGGAGUGGGGAUAUUUUUAGUUUUUAUUUUCUCAUUGUGGGUGGGGGUUCAUUUAUAUUGAAUUUUGGUUUUUGGGGGUUUUUGCUUUUCCUCCCGAUUGUUGGGUCGUCGAGAGAUAUCAAUGUUGUAUAUGAUUGGUGGUCACUGUAUAACUAUUUUAUGAAAACAAUUGUAUUAAAUUGGUGAUGUGAUGUGUUUUGUAUGAUUUUACCUGUCUUUAUAUUUAAAGUGUCCAUUUAAAUAAAUUGAUUGCACACC